AGGGAAACAAAAGAAAAGAAUAAACAAAUGAGACUAUGUCAAACUAAAAAGUUUAUACACACAGCAAAGAAGACCAUCAAUGAAAUAAACAGACAACCCACAGAAUGGGAGAACAUAUUCACUAAUAUAUCUGAUAAGGGAUUAAUAUCCAAUAUAUAUUAAGAACUUA